GACGAACGCUGGCGGCGUGCCUAAUACAUGCAAGUAGAACGCACAGUUUAUACCGUAGCUUGCUACACCAUAGACUGUGAGUUGCGAACGGGUGAGUAACGCGUAGGUAACCUGCCUGGUAGCGGGGGAUAACUAUUGGAAACGAUAGCUAAUACCGCAUAAUAUUGAUUAUUGCAUGAUAAUUAAUUGAAAGGUGCAAUUGCACCACUACCAGAUGGACCUGCGUUGUAUUAGCUAGUAGGUGAGGUAACGGCUCACCUAGGCGACGAUACAUAGCCGACCUGAGAGGGUGAUCGGCCACACUGGGACUGAGACACGGCCCAGACUCCUACGGGAGGCAGCAGUAGGGAAUCUUCGGCAAUGGACGAAAGUCUGACCGAGCAACGCCGCGUGAGUGAAGAAGGUUUUCGGAUCGUAAAGCUCUGUUGUAAGAGAAGAACGGGUGUGAGAGUGGAAAGUUCGCACUGUGACGGUAUCUUACCAGAAAGGGACGGCUAACUACGUG
rnacentral:rRNA from 1 species